rnacentral:rRNA from 1 species
GUGGGGAAUCUUAGACAAUGGGCGCAAGCCUGAUCUAGCCAUGCCGCGUGAGCGAUGAAGGCCUUAGGGUUGUUAAGCUCUUUCGUGGGGGAAGAUAAUGACUGUACCCCAAGAAGAAGCCCCGGCUAACUCCGUGCCAGCAGCCGCGGUAAUACGGAGGGGGCUAGCGUUGUUCGGAAUUACUGGGCGUAAAGCGCACGUAGGCGGACUGGAAAGUCAGGGGUGAAAUCCCGGGGCUCAACCCCGGAACUGCCUUUGAAACUCCCAGUCUUGAGUUCGAGAGAGGUGAGUGGAAUUCCGAGUGUAGAGGUGAAAUUCGUAGAUAUUCGGAGGAACACCAGUGGCGAAGGCGGCUCACUGGCUCGAUACUGACGCUGAGGUGCGAAAGCGUGGGGAGCAAACAGGAUUAGAUACCCCGGUAGUCC